UACGUAGGGAGCAAGCGUUGUCCGGAAUCAUUGGGCGUAAAGAGCGCGUAGGCGGCCCGAUAAGUCCGCUGUGAAAGUCAAGGGCUCAACCCUCGAAUGCCGGUGGAUACUGUCGGGCUAGAGUGCGGAAGAGGCGAGUGGAAUUCCUGGUGUAGCGGUGAAAUGCGCAGAUAUCAGGAGGAACACCUAUUGCGAAGGCAGCUCGCUGGGACGUAACUGACGCUGAGACGCGAAAGCGUGGGGAGCAAACAGG
rnacentral:rRNA from 1 species